rnacentral:snRNA from 1 species
AUACCUUUCUCGGCCUUUUGGCUAAGAUCAACUAUAGCAUCUGUUCUUAUCAGUUUAAUAUCUGAUAUGUGGGUCAUCGACCCACGCGAUAUAACUCAUUUUCUAAGGGAGAAGGCCCAUUAGGUUAGCUUGCUACCUCGGCCUUCGCGCGUCGCCUAGGCAUUGCAUUACAGCGCAGACCUAGCGCCCCUAAA